CACGCAGGUGGCUGAGUCAGUCGAUUGUGAAAGCCCUGGGCUUAACCUGGGAAUUGCAGUCGAUACUACUCAGCUAGAGUAUGGGAGAGGGUAGUGGAAUUCCCGGUGUAGCGGUGAAAUGCGUAGAUAUCGGGAGGAACAUCAGUGGCGAAGGCGGCUACCUGGCCCAAUACUGACACUCAGGUGCGACAGCGUGGGAGCAAACA
rnacentral:rRNA from 1 species